GAUGAACGCUGGCGGCGUGCCUAAUACAUGCCAGUCGAGCGAACAGACGAGGAGCUUGCUCCUCUGACGUUAGCGGCGGACGGGUGAGUAACACGUGGAAAACCUACCUAUAAGACUGGGAUAACUUCGGGAAACCGGAGCUAAUACCGGAUAAUAUAUUGAACCGCAUGGUUCAAUAGUGAAAGACGGUUUUGCUGUCACUUAUAGAUGGAUCCGCGCCGCAUUAGCUAGUUGGUAAGGUAACGGCUCACCAAGGCAACGAUGCGUAGCCGACCUGAGAGGGUGAUCAGCCACACUGGAACUGAGACACGGUCCAGACUCCUACGGGAGGCAGCAGUAGGGAAUCUUCCACAAUGGGCGAAAGCUUGACCGAGCAACGCCGCGUGAGUGAUGAAGGUCUUCGGAUCGUAAAGCUCUUUUAUUAGGGAAGAACAACUGUGUAAGUAUCUAUGCACGUCUUGACGGUACCUAAUCAGAAAGCAACGGCUAACUUCGUG
rnacentral:rRNA from 1 species